GCUGCGGUGGUGUAAUGGUUAGUACUUCUGUCUAGCAAGCAGGAAGACCCAGGUUCGAGUCCUGGCUGCAGCA